ensembl:rRNA 5S_rRNA 5S ribosomal RNA
GCUUACGGCCAUACCAGCCUGGCUAUGCCCGAACUCGUCUGAUCUCGGAAGCUAAGCAGGUUUGGGCAUGGUUAGUACUUGGAUGGGAGACCGCCUGGGAAUACCAGGUGCUGUAAGCA